UUUAUGAGGGUGAGGAUGAUUGUCAAACAAUGGAACACAGAGCAUGGAUAAUAGUCUUUAAUAAAUGUUUGUAACUUACUUUUUCACUUAUUCUGCAUGUUUUCCCCUUAAGGUAUAAACAUGAAACAAACAGAUUGUGACCUUAUCAGUUUUUCUAUAAGGUGGCUGGAAACUUAGUAUCUGCAGGGCAUCUGCUUACAGAUUUCAUAUGUGCAUGUUAAGCUAACAUAUAAAUAUUGCAUUAGCUGAAUUCUUACAUGCACAUGUGCUAUUACUUUGCAUAUAUUUUUUGUGAUUUGUAAUAAUUUUUUUCAUUGUUUGGUUCAGGCUUGAGAAGGAAAAGAGAAGGUUUAAAGUUUUUCAGUUGAAUGAUUUGUGUGAUGAGACCAGAGAACCCUAGAGCACUCCAUCACCUGGGGUUCACGGUCAUUAUGUUCGUUAACUUAGAGUUACUUUCAGCAACUUAGUAUUGCUAUUUUGAUCCUAAGAAUUUUUACGUGCAUUUUUUCUCUGCAUCAUGUUUAUGAAUUAAUUUACAAGCAUCUUAAAUAAAAGUUGAAAUAUAUUAUUAUUCAAGAUGUAAUCUUUGAUAGCAAUAUGUGUAGAUUUAGCAGAACUUUUAGCAAUUAGACACCAAGUAGUUGAAAAAAUGAAGAAAUAAUUUAAGACUACUUAACCUAAUGUGUUGAUACAUUGUGAUAGAAAAAUAAAACAUCAGGUGAUAAUAGUUAAAACUCUGUAAUGAAUUUACGUUGUAUCAAGGCUUGCAAAAUUAGUAUCAGGAAAUUCUCUAGAUUGAUAUCCUAAGCCACAAUUGGCGUCACAAAAUUAGACUAUUUUAUUAUGGUUCAAAAUCUUCCAAACUUCCAUAAAUUUUUUCAGGAUCACUGAUAUAUUGUUAUCAUGCCCAUCGCAAAAGCGCAGGUUGAUAUUACUUUGUUGUAUUCAUCAGCUUGUUGCAUUAACCUAUUGCUAGCGUGAAAGCUGUUUGACGAUUGUGAUAAAUACUACUAUGGAGAUCAUGGUUCUUUAGAAUGUUAUGACUCUUGAGUAUGGGGUAUGACAACAACUUGGAUUGUAUAAAACAGAAAAGGAGAGAGCUGAGGGAGAUGUGAAAUAACGACAGCAAAAGGAAAAGGGCCAUGAAUGCCAACCUUAAACAAUCACAUUGGAAGACAAAAACAAGAGUUUGAUGCAGAGGCUGAUACUCCUGAAAUGGAAGUUAAUAAGAUGCGUCAACACAUCAAGAACAAUAGGUUCUUUCACAUGGUGCCAACUUACUCAUGCAUAUGCAGGUAGUUAACUAAUCAUCUAAAUAACACUUUGUUUUUACAUGGUAUAUAUAACAUCCAUUUUUUUCAUAGUUAAUUAGUUGGAUGUCAUUUUGCCAAUGCGUACACCUGAUUUAUUUGUCUCUGAAACUUAAAAACUAUGUGUUGUAUAACUUCAUUUUUACAAGGUACAUAUAUAAUUCAUUUUGCUUCAUAGUUUAGUUGGAUGUCAUUGACCAAUGUGUAUGUCCAGUUUAUUUGACACUGAAACAAUGGGAAGAAGUGUGGGAAUGGAGGGAAUGACCAUUUGUGCACGAACUUGUAGAUGUUGAAAGAUUUUCAGAAUUUAUCAAAAACAUUGUCCAAACCAUGGGAAUGAUUUUCAAAUUCCAAGGAAGACUAAAAAGUACCUUAUCUGGGAGCAUCUUAUGAAGCCAUUCAAGGAAAACUAAAUAGAACCUUAUCUGGGAUCAUCUUCUUCUUUUUUUUCUUUCAAGUUCAUGUGUAUUUGUGGUUGUGGAUAUGUCAUUUUGUUGUUUAAGACUUCCACCACGUGUAUUUGAGAUUUCAGAUGGAAUAUGGUUUGAAAUGACUGGAACUUGCUUGCAUUAAUGUUAGAAGAUAUAUAUUUUUUCUUUGAUAAGGAACGUUAGAAGAUAUAUUUAGUCUUUGAAUUCCUCUUUGUUUUAUACCUUAUGUACAUGUUAUGUACAAUACAAUGACAAUCACAAUUUUUUGAAAGACUUUAACUAAACUAAAAAUAAAAUUAACCAUG